AUGCACAAGUCUCACUGGCUAGAUGGAGCAAGGAGGUUGGAGGAGGGAAGGAGGAGGAGUUUGGAGGAGGGAUGGGGAGGAGUUUGGAGGAGGGACGGGGGAGGAGUUUGGAGGAGGGAUGGGGGAGGAGUUUGGAGGAGGGAUGGGGGAGGAGUUUGGAGGAGGGACGGGGGAGGAGUUUGGAGGAGGGACGGGGGAAGAGUUUGGAGGAGGGAUGGGGAGGAGUUUGGAGGAGGGACGGGGGAGGAGUUUGCAGGAGGGAUGGGGAGGAGUUUGGAGGAGGGAGGGGGAGGAGUUUGCAGGAGGGACGGGGGAAGAGUUUGGAGGAGGGAUGGGGAGGAGUUUGGAGGAGGGACGGGGGAGGAGUUUGCAGGAGGGAUGGGGAGGAGUUUGGAGGAGGGAUGGGGAGGAGUUUGGAGGAGGGACGGGGGAGGAGUUUGCAGGAGGGAUGGGGAGGAGUUUGGAGGAGGGAUGGGGAGGAGUUUGCAGGAGGGAUGGGGAGGAGUUUGGAGGAGGGAUGGGGAGGAGUUUGGAGGAGGGAUGGGGAGGAGUUUGGAGGAGGGACGGGGGAGGAGUUUGGAGGAGGGAUGGGGAGGAGUUUGGAGGAGGGAGGGGGAAGAGUUUGGAGGAGGAAUAGAGGAGGGAUGGGGGGAGGUUGGAGGAGGUUGGAGGAGGGAUGGGGAGGAGUUUGGAAGAGGAAUAGAGGAGAGAUGGGGGAGGUUGGAGGAGGGAUGGAGGAGGAGGGAUUGGGGAGGAGGCAUGGAGGAGGGAUGGAGGAGGAGGUUCCAAGGAUCCCUUUGGCAGGUCAGACCUGGGGUCGGGGCGGAUCCUGUUGAAGUCACCACCAGCGCAGACUUGAGAUUGCUGCCCACAGGCCUCUCCUCCGGGACAGAGAUGUGCCUUAGAGCAGCUGCUCUGGAGGGGACAGAGGCCUCCCUGGUCCUCUCCAGCCUGGGUCACUUCCUUCAUGGCCUGAGGUAUCAAGGAGUUCAGAGCCCUGCGAGAGGCCCAGAACCAGAAGGGUCAAGGGAACUCACCAUCUUGGUCUGCGGGGCCCAGUUUCUAGCUCAUUCUGCCCCACUCAGAGGCAGGCUCUGUUCUCUGAGCCCAGCACUGGGAGUCCGGUCUGCGGAAAACAAGACUACAUGGCUGGCGGGCAUGGUUCCGGCCCAGGAAAGCGCCAAGCACAGGGUCGGGCACACAGCAGGUGCUCAAUAA
rnacentral:lncRNA from 1 species